GCCCGGAUACGCCAAUGGACCGAGCGGCUGCCCUUAAAAGGCAGCGGUUGCCGGUUCGAAUCCGGCUCCGGGCA
rnacentral:tRNA from 1 species